rnacentral:tRNA from 1 species
GCCGCAGCUCAGCCCGCAGAUCGCCCAGCCUCUCUCCUAAAGCGGGUGUCGCAGGUUCGAAUCCUGCCGGGGGCACCA